UAAAUAUAAUUCCUGUUAAAUCUGUUCUAAGCCUGGAUGCUCUGAUUGACAGGAACCGACAGGCUGGGCCUCCUUUGCUGGUGGUUUAAAACUCUCAACCAGCAUUUUCAGCCAUCACAGACCAUGGUAUUGAGUCAAUCUUCAGGAUGUAUGAAGAGCUAGGUUCAAAUUACAGGUGCUAAAUAAAUAUUCGUCCCUUGCUACAGUCAAUAUAAAAAGGUGACUAGGGAGAAAGCAGUGUAGAAUUGUAGGCUUUUUUAGAAAUGAAAUCCCCGAAAAUUCAGCACACACAAGAAUAACAGAUGCCAGGAAAUCACAAAACAGCAUGAAGUGAUAGGAAAGGCAGAGACAGGGGGAGCCUGUAUAUUGAUAUUUGAAACAGGCUCUUUAAAAUGGAAGAUAAUAACUGAAAAUUAUUCUGAGCUGUUCAAAGGCAUAAAUGACCAAACAGCCUCCUGACUCCAGAAUUACAUUAUACAGAAAGGAACUUAAUAGCAUGCUAUUAUCACUUCUCCUCACUGACAGGAUUUCGGCAGUGAAAAGACAAACAAAAAGUGCAUUCAUAAUCGCAACCGGCUUCACCUCUGCGAAACGCCGACCACAGCUAAUUUCAGUGUAGCCUGGUCCUACCUGGUCAUCUUCAUAGACCCCCAGAACUUGAUAACUGCUGGGCAAGGAGGGAGCUGCACAGAGAAUUAUGCUCCGAAUAGCUUAAUGCAAAAUCACAGCCAUUCUCACUUCAGCUCAUCAUUGUGACAAAACUGACAACUGCUGCAGUCUCCAUGCGGGCACAGGGGAAAGAAAGAUGAAGAAGUUGCAUGAAAGGCAAGAAGAAACAAAGGAACUGAGCUCUAAAACACACUGGAGAAGCAAAUUCUUAGAAAAGAGCAGUCAUAGUAAGACCUGUGUUGAGAAGGUAUGGAAACUGACAAAAGGGGAUCUCUCAAGGUGCUCGAUCUUUUUUUUUUGUCUGUUAAAACGUUUUUUGAGAAGGACAAAGAGCAGAUGAAUGAAUUUUGUGCAUAAAAGUUUAACAUGUGUAAAUCAAACUCUGUGCUUGAUAUUUACCCUAAAGAACUGUUCUGUUCUUCUUCCCAUGUGACCUUUCCCCUUCUCCUAAAUGAAAAAAGAGUAUCAACUGCAGCGUAGACCCAUGCAAAUCCUUGUGCUGCUUUUCAAAGAGACUUCACUUCAUGUUUGGAAUGCCAACAAAGUUAUUAUUGUUUUGGACAUUGCAACAUUGCAGCAAAUCAGUCACAGUUAAUUCCUCCAUCCUUGGACAGAAACAGAAUGAUAAUUACCACCUCAAGCGGCUAACACAGAAGGAUGGGGAAGAGAGGAAGCAAACAGCAUUCAGCCCUUUCAGGUUUACCUUGUCUAAUACAGUACAAUGCUGUUCAUGGAUACUGACUACAGUAGGGUUUCUUUACAGGUACAUGGAAUAUGAUGAAGCUGCUAUAUGUCAUAGUAACCUUUUUCCAAACAGCUACAUUGAGGACAUAGGAUACAAACAGCUCUGUUUUUAACCAUUUUAUGCCGUGCACUGACUUUUAUAACUGUUUGUUGAUGUUAUGUUUUUAUUGAUGCGACAUUGUUUUAUUGCCGAUCUUGUUUUAUUUUUUAUUGUUGUUAUUGUAUUGUUGUCGGGCAUGGCCCCAUGUAAACCGCUCCGAGUCCCUCCGGGGAGAUGGGGCAGGAUAUAAAAAUAAAGUUGUUGUUGUUGUUGUUGU